CAAGUCGAGCGAACAGAAGGGAGCUUGCUCCCGGAUGUUAGCGGCGGACGGGUGAGUAACACGUGGGUAACCUGCCUGUAAGACUGGGAUAACUCCGGGAAACCGGAGCUAAUACCGGAUAGUUCCUUGAACCGCAUGGUUCAAGGAUGAAAGACGGUUUCGGCUGUCACUUACAGAUGGACCCGCGGCGCAUUAGCUAGUUGGUGGGGUAAUGGCUCACCAAGGCGACGAUGCGUAGCCGACCUGAGAGGGUGAUCGGCCACACUGGGACUGAGACACGGCCCAGACUCCUACGGGAGGCAGCAGUAGGGAAUCUUCCGCAAUGGACGAAAGUCUGACGGAGCAACGCCGCGUGAGUGAUGAAGGUUUUCGGAUCGUAAAGCUCUGUUGUUAGGGAAGAACAAGUGCGAGAGUAACUGCUCGCACCUUGACGGUACCUAACCAGAAAGCCACGGCUAACUACGUGCCAGCAGCCGCGGUAAUACGUAGGUGGCAAGCGUUGUCCGGAAUUAUUGGGCGUAAAGGGCUCGCAGGCGGUUUCUUAAGUCUGAUGUGAAAGCCCCCGGCUCAACCGGGGAGGGUCAUUGGAAACUGGGAAACUUGAGUGCAGAAGAGGAGAGUGGAAUUCCACGUGUAGCGGUGAAAUGCGUAGAGAUGUGGAGGAACACCAGUGGCGAAGGCGACUCUCUGGUCUGUAACUGACGCUGAGGAGCGAAAGCGUGGGGAGCGAACAGGAUUAGAUACCCUGGUAGUCCACGCCGUAAACGAUGAGUGCUAAGUGUUAGGGGGUUUCCGCCCCUUAGUGCUGCAGCUAACGCAUUAAGCACUCCGCCUGGGGAGUACGGUCGCAAGACUGAAACUCAAAGGAAUUGACGGGGGGCCGCACAAGCGGUGGAGCAUGUGGUUUAAUUCGAAGCAACGCGAAGAACCUUACCAGGUCUUGACAUCCUCUGACAACCCUAGAGAUAGGGCUUUCCCUUCGGGGACAGAGUGACAGGUGGUGCAUGGUUGUCGUCAGCUCGUGUCGUGAGAUGUUGGGUUAAGUCCCGCAACGAGCGCAACCCUUGAUCUUAGUUGCCAGCAUUUAGUUGGGCACUCUAAGGUGACUGCCGGUGACAAACCGGAGGAAGGUGGGGAUGACGUCAAAUCAUCAUGCCCCUUAUGACCUGGGCUACACACGUGCUACAAUGGACAGAACAAAGGGCUGCGAGACCGCAAGGUUUAGCCAAUCCCAUAAAUCUGUUCUCAGUUCGGAUCGCAGUCUGCAACUCGACUGCGUGAAGCUGGAAUCGCUAGUAAUCGCGGAUCAG
rnacentral:rRNA from 1 species